UAACGCGUGAGGAACCUGCCUUUCAGAGGGGGACAACAGCUGGGAAACGGCUGCUAAUACCGCAUAACAUAUAGGUAUCGCAUGGUGCCUAUAUCAAAGAUUUAUCGCUGAAAGAUGGCCUCGCGUCUGAUUAGCUAGUUGGUAGGGUAACGGCCUACCAAGGCGACGAUCAGUAGCCGGACUGAGAGGUUGGCCGGCCACAUUGGGACUGAGAUACGGCCCAGACUCCUACGGAAGGCAGCAG
rnacentral:rRNA from 1 species